GGAUUUGUAGUCCAACGGUUAGGAUAAUUGCCUUCCAAGCAAUAAACCCGGUUUCGACUCCCGGCAAACGCA
rfam:Ipomoea nil DNA, scaffold: scaffold1769, cultivar: Tokyo-kokei standard.